rnacentral:miRNA from 1 species
AUGGGCUGGUGCACUACUGACCACAAAGCCCUUUGAUAUCCGGGAAGGUGGAGUAAUAGCAUCAAGUCUGU